rnacentral:rRNA from 1 species
GACGAACGCUGGCGGCGUGCCUAAUACAUGCAAGUAGAACGCUGAAGGAGGAGCUUGCUCUUCUGGAUGAGUUGCGAACGGGUGAGUAACGCGUAGGUAACCUGCCUGGUAGCGGGGGAUAACUAUUGGAAACGAUAGCUAAUACCGCAUAAGAGUAGAUGUUGCAUGACAUUUGCUUAAAAGGUGCAAUUGCAUCACUACCAGAUGGACCUGCGUUGUAUUAGCUAGUUGGUGGGGUAACGGCUCACCAAGGCGACGAUACAUAGCCGACCUGAGAGGGGGGUCCGCCACACUGGGACUGGGAAACGGCCCAGACUUCUACGGGAGGCAGCAGUAGGGAAACUUUGGCAAUGGACGGAAGUCUGACCGAGCAACGCCGCGUGAGGGAAGAAGGUUUUCGGAUCGUAAAGCUCUGUUGUAAGAGAAGAACGAGUGUGAGAGUGGAAAGUUCACACUGUGACGGUACCUUACCAGAAAGGGACGGCUAACUACGUG